ensembl:lncRNA
CAGCCUGAGAACCUGUGCACCUGAGAACUGGUGCACACCUGGGGCUCGUUAGGCGCAUUAUCGACUCUACCACCACCCUCCGGUAUAACAGGGUGGCUCUUGGUGCUCACAGGGAGCAGGUGGAGUUGUGUGAGGGACGUGGCUGCCACAGCUCCAGCCUCGGCUACCUAAGGAAAAACAGGAGUGUCCUGAACAGACAGCAAAGGCCAAGAGUGAGAACAAGGCUUCCCAUCACAUACGGGAAGGUGAAGCGUUCAGGCAGCUUGGCAGAAACUCAAGGGAACAGAAGAAUUAAGUGUAUUUUUUUUGGUGAAGUUUUGAGAUCCCUGUACAAAGUUUUGGAUUUGAGUAGCCACAGUACGUCUGAAUUGAUCAUUUACCACCAGCAUCAUCUCUGUUUUGGAUAUCUUUGA